rnacentral:rRNA from 1 species
GUGGAUUAGAUACCCGGGUAGUCCACGCCGUAAACGAUGAAUACUAGGUGUAGGGGUUGUCAUGACCUCUGUGCCGUCGCAAACGCAUUAAGUAUUCCGCCUGGGGAGUACGGUCGCAAGAUUAAAACUCAAAGGAAUUGACGGGGGCCCGCACAAGCAGCGGAGCAUGUGGUUUAAUUCGAAGCAACGCGAAGAACCUUACCUAGACUUGACAUCUCCUGAAUUACCCGUAACUGGGGAAGCCCUUCGGGGCAGGAAGACAGGUGGUGCAUGGCCGUCGACAGCU